AAUGAACGUUGGCGGCGUGGAUUAGGCAUGCAAGUCGAGCGCGAACCCCGCAAGGGGUGAAAGCGGCGAAAGGGAGAGUAACGCGUGGGUAUUUACCCUCGGGGCUGGGAUAGCUGCGGGAAACUGCAGGUAAUACCAGAUGACGUCCCCGGACCAAAGGUGUGAUUCCGCCUGAGGAUAAGCCCGCGUCCUAUUAGCUAGUUGGUGAGGUAAUGGCUCACCAAGGCAAUGAUGGGUACUGGGUGUGAGAGCACGACCCAGCUCACUGGGACUGAGACACUGCCCACACACCUACGGGUGGCUGCAGGCGAGAAUCUUCGGCAAUGGGCGCAAGCCUGACCGAGCGACGCCGCGUGUGGGAUGAAGGCCUUCGGGUUGUAAACCGCUGUCAGAGGGGAGGAAUGGGCGGAGGGUAAUCUCUUCGUUUUGACCUAUCCUCAGAGGAAGUACGGGCUAAGUUCGUGCCAGCCGCCGCCGUAA
rnacentral:rRNA from 1 species